AAGCGAGCCUUGAGAUGAGUUCUCCCUGAUACUUUAAGUAUCCUAAAGGGUUGUCGUAGACUACGACGUUGAUAGGCAGGGUGUGUAAGCGUUGUGAGGCGUUGAGCUAACCUGUACUAAUUGCCCGUGAGGCUUAACCAUACAACACCCAAGGGGUUU
rnacentral:rRNA from 1 species